GGCCUUGCUCAGUCACUGAUUUAUCUCCAUUGCAGAUUGCUUGGGUAGCUGCAAGCCCUUGCUCGGGCACUGGUUUAUCUCCAUUGGAGUUUGCUUGGGUAGCUGCAAGCCCUUGCUCAGGCACUGGUUUAUCUCCAUUGGAGUUUGCUUGGAUAGUAGCAAGCCCCCGCUCAGGCACUGGUUUAUCUCCAUUGGAGUUUGCUUGGAUAGCAGCAAGCCCUCGCUCAGGCACUGGUUUAUCUCCAUUGGAGUUUGCUUGGAUAGCUGCAAGCUCUUGCUCAGGCAGUGCAGAACUGCUAGAGUCUAGCACGC
rnacentral:lncRNA from 1 species